UAGAUGAAUGCCCGCUGGCUUAGGCACCUAGCUGUUAACUAGGUUUUUGAGGGAUCGAGGCCCUCUCAUCUAC
rnacentral:tRNA from 1 species